GUUGCAGUGAGCCGAAAUGGUGUCAUUGCACUCCAGCCUGAGCAACAAGAGUGAAACUCUGUCUCAAAAAAAAAAAAAAAAAAAGCCCACUAUGGUGGCGGGUGCCCGUAAUCCCAGCUACUAGGGAGGCUGAGGCAGGAGAAUCACUCAAACCUGGAAGGCGGAGGCUGCAGUGAGCCAAGACUGCACCGCUGCACUCCAGUCUGGGCAACACAGUGAGACUCCAUCUCACAAACAACAACAACAAAAUGGAGAUGGAGACUAAAGCAAAUGUUAUGUGUUACUUUUCCCCUGGCCCUUUUAUUUCAACUUUCUCUCAAGAGUUGAGUGGAUGAAAUCAAUUGCAGAAAAUUCAUAAUUUUCAAAGGAAAGCGCAACAUAAAACAUUGUAAAUAAUACCUAUCUCAGUACAGUUGACUAGAAAUAACCUAAUGCCGACGUAAGGAGCUGUUUAAAUCAUGUUGCUGCAUCCAAAUGAAGUAAAAUCAAUUUUGUUUUCAAAAUACAUGCCUAGAAAAGAGACAGAAAAGAGAACAAAAUUACUAGCGUUGCUUGCCUCUAGAUGGUAAUUACAAGUCAUCUUAUUUUUCUUUUUCCUUUUCAGCAUUUUUUCCAAUGAAAAUGUAAUAGUGUAGUAAAAAGAAACAAUGGAAGUUAAUUUAAUAGCAAAAGAUAAUGGCCAGAAUAUUAUGUUACAAGAAAAAAAAUAAAACAGGAUUUUAAACAGCUAUACAUAGAAAAAAGCCUGGUAGGAAACAGACCAAGAUGUCAAAAGUGAUUAUUUCUUUUACAAUAUUGUGUCUUCCAACUUUUCCAUAAACAGCAUGUAUUACUUUUAUAAUCAGAAAAAAAAAAAGAUAUUUUUGAGGGCAUCAUUGUCAGAAGUGUUAGUACUUCCUUCAAAUAUAAUUUAGUGCACACACACACUUUUUAAAAAAGUUAUUCAGGGUCAGG
rnacentral:lncRNA from 10 species